UACGUAGGGGGCGAGCGUUGUCCGGAAUUACUGGGCGUAAAGGGCGCGUAGGCGGCCUGUUAAGUCGAACGUGAAAUCCCCGGGCUCAACCCGGGAACUGCGUCCGAUACUGGCAGGCUUGAAUUCGGGAGAGGGAUGCGGAAUUCCAGGUGUAGCGGUGAAAUGCGUAGAUAUCUGGAGGAACACCGGUGGCGAAGGCGGCACCCUGGACCGGCAUUGACGCUGAGGCGCGAAAGCCAGGGGAGCAAACGGG
rnacentral:rRNA from 1 species